UUAUCGAUAUGAAAGGAUAUAAAAUACGGGGCAAGACUGGUUUCCAACGAGCUCUUCAUAUCUCUGCCUUGUUGUUGCUUUUUUUUAUUUAUGAGUUGGUAUAGAUAGUGUAUUUCGUCAAGCUUUACGUAUCAAGAUGGAUGUAGUACGUGUUUUUAAAUCUAGUGUUUUUUUUUUAUUUUUUGUUAAAGAAAUUCUGAAGAUCUUAAAUUAAUGUUCGCCAGCUAUUACGAUAUUCUGGAAGGUAGUUUAUCGAUGUCUCAUCUGACGAGAACUUUAAAGAUCCAAGAAUCUACCAUAAAAUAGAUGUUUGAUAUUCUACUAUCGAAAGUGGCUUAUGCUAGAUUAAAAAUCUAUUCCUUGCAGAAGAAUGUUGAUUAUCGUUAUCAGAUUUAGAUGGGCUUUGCAUUGAGUACUUCAUCGCCAGAUUCCUUGAGGAUCAAAUUUUGAAAGAUCUCCAUGACUGACCUAGUUACCAUGAGGCCUGUUGUCUGCCAAGAUCUCCAUGACUGACCUAGUUACCAUGUUGUCUGCCAAGAUCUCCAUGACUGACCUAGUUACCAUGUUGUCUGCCAAGAUCUCCAUGACUGACCUAGUUACCAUGUUGUCUGCCAAGAUCUCCAUGACUGACCUAGUUACCAUGUUGUCUGCCAAGAUCUCCAUGACUGACCUAGUUUCCAGAGGAUCGUACUCUGCUGAGAUGACCUACUUCAGUUGCCUAGUCGACAUAACAGAAGCGCUGACUGUACCUGAUUUCUUCAACUGAACAAAAGGUUUAUUUUAAAUAUUCUCCUUGAAUAAUAAAAUUCAAUUUUCGGUA